CAGUUCAUAGAGGAGAUGAAUGUUGGGAUGAGUUAACGCCCCCUACAGCAAUCAGGAGAGAGUGCCCCCGCCCCAUCCCUUGCCUGGGCAAACCUGAUGGUAGGAGUGUGGAUGAACCAGACUGGAUGGUCUAGACGGUCUGAGAACAGGAGAACUGACUCCCAGCUCCUUGCUGCCUGUGCAGCGGGUGAGCUUGCCAAGUCAGGGCCAGAGAGCUCGCACUGGUGAUGUGGAAGACAGAAAGCUGGCGGGCUAACCAGCCCAGCUCGUACCUGGGCUCAGAACCAGGGCCAUGAGUUGGCCCACCCCAACAUCCACCUCAUCUAUGAAAACUAAAUGUCACAAUGAGAGCUCACUGGGGAUGCUCAGAGGAGCUGAAGUGACAGAUCAGAAAAUGACUCACUGACGCAGUGUCACUGGAGAUGGUGGAGGCUGACCGAGCAGAGCUCCAGAGAACACCGCUG